CACAAAAACAAAACAAACUGAAACCAACUGGCAGCUGCUGAUACAAGUGUGUAAUAAAUGACUUACAUGAAAUGUUGUGUCUGGCUGUCCUUAUCUGGUACAAGUUGAUAUCUGCUCGAGGGAAACCUUCUGCGUCAACCAAAGCUCCUUCAACUCCUACACCUUGCUGUAUUUAAAACAGUUAGCUAAGUGUUUAACUCCAUUCACUGUGCUUUUUGGCUGGACUUGAUAAUAUAAUUCAGCUGAUCAUGCUGACUUACGUCUUCCAGAACGUCGUAAUAAGCUUUUAUCUGUUCCUCAAUAUCGUCUUUUUUUUUUAUUAGGUUUUUCACAUCAUCCAUUGAUGUUUCUAAAUUUGACGAGUUUUCCUCUGUCAUCUUCCCCUUCUUUAGUCUUAAUGCCGGUUGGCAAACCAACUUAUAGGUGCAUUACCGCCACCUACUGCACUG